GGAAAAGUCACUGUGGACCUACAGUCUUUGGAGAAGGUGAGUCAGAUUGCACUUGGCAGCUGCAGGGCCACAGACUCCUGCUAUCUCAACGAUGGUCUACAGCCCAGAACAGUAGCAUUUCUGGUAACACCGCCAUGCCAGGUCACGCUGCGGACAGGCUCGGCAUACGGAUCCACACCAAUCGCGCUCAAGACAGUUCUUGAAGAUCGGAUUUGGGACCUGCGAGCUGUAGGCCGGCAGCCAUGAGGGUGGCUGUGUUUCUGAAGAAAACAUAGCAGGGUUAGGAAACCGAAGAGAAAGGAAUGAUGGAGACUUUGUGAGCUGGGAAGGACAUCAGAGCAGAGCGCAGCUUCACCGACCUGACCAGCACUGGACCCUAUAACAGUACUGGGAGCUCUGUGUGUGAAAACAAGUUUUCCUCCCUCCUCAUUUCCCUUCCCUCAGUCCUCUCUUCUCUCUCCUUCUCCCCUCCUCUCCCCUCCCAUGUCCUCCCCUGUCCUCUCCUCCUCUCUGGCUGGGUAUGGGACUCUUUGUCACACAUGCAGAGCUCCAUCUCCACCCUGGGACUCUUAGCAGCCAAAUCACAAAAUAAAAAAAGAAAUGGUGACAUUUAGUUCAAACU
rnacentral:lncRNA from 1 species